CACCAGUAGCUGGGACUACAGGUCUGUGCCACCAUGCCCAGGCCCAAGAACCUCGUUUGAGGGACUUCAAGAAAAGAGGAGCUCAUCCAGUUCGUACAGACCUUUUCUCCCUAUCAAGCCAAACCUCCUCUGUUCAGCUCAUCGGAACACUCAUUCUAUUUUACGAGAAUGAGUUAUUGCACAAUUCUUGAGUCACAAAUAAAAGCCAAUUAAGAUUUUAAAACUUGUUGUGCUUUUUGUCUUUUGACAGAUCAGAGUUUGCUGAUGGAUCACAUACGGGAUCCAAACAGCCAACUUAGGCUUCCUGUGCCGUGGUAGCUGCUCAUGAAAUUGUGGGAGCUUAUUUUGCCUGGAAUUAAAUCAGCACAAUUUGA